rnacentral:rRNA from 1 species
GAGUUUGAUCGUGGCUCAGGAUGAACGCUGGCGGCGUGCCUAACACAUGCAAGUCGAACGGGGUUAUUUUGGAAAGUUCCUUCGGGGACUGGAAUCUAUAACCUAGUGGCGGACGGGUGAGUAACGCGUGAGCAAUCUGCCUUUAGGAGGGGGAUAACAGUCGGAAACGGCUGCUAAUACCGCAUAAUACGUUUGGGAGGCAUCUCCCUAACGUCAAAGAUUUUAUCGCCUUUAGAUGAGCUCGCGUCUGAUUAGCUAGUUGGCGGGGUAACGGCCCACCAAGGCGACGAUCAGUAGCCGGACUGAGAGGUUGAACGGCCACAUUGGGACUGAGACACGGCCCAGACUCCUACGGGAGGCAGCAGUGGGGAAUAUUGCGCAAUGGGGGCAACCCUGACGCAGCAACGCCGCGUGAUUGAAGAAGGCC